GCUCGGGUGGCUCAGUUGGUAGAGCAUGGAACUCUUGAUCUCAGGGUUCUGAGUUCAAGCCUCAGGUUGGACA
rnacentral:tRNA from 1 species